rnacentral:misc_RNA from 1 species
CGUCUCCUUCGAUUUCGUGUCGGAUGUCCGCCAAGCCGCCAUUUUACCCCUCUUCACCUCUUCGCCUCUUCGUUCUACUCUCCUGCAGAGUAUAAUACGCUACACGGAAUUCUUCAGGGAGGGGAAGAGAGGAAAUAUCCACGGCGAAGGGAUGCUCAUCGCGGAGGUAUAAGAGCGAGGGCAAGGAAAAGGGGGGGACCUCUUUAUCAAACCCUUAUAUUGGAUCUUCUUACGUCGCUACGCGGUCCUCGUCGUCGUUAUGCUGCAGCAGCACACCCCCACCAAUUCUUCACUUCCAUCUACCUUUAUUCUUCGUUGGCACAUCACAUUGCAGCAAUAGGAU